UACUGCUGGUUUUGUAAGGCAUUGUGGUUGAGAGCACCUUGCAGCUGUAACGCGAAUUUCGUUCCGUAAUAAACAAUGUACCGCCAUGCUGCCUGUCCUUCCUCCCUCCCAGCACUGUGUGCGUCUGUGUGUGUGUGUGUGUUGCUUAAUUCUCCCUCACUGCACUGUGCGUACGUCUGUGUGUGUGUGUUGCUUAAUUCUCCCUCACUGCACUGUGUACGUCUGUGUGUGUGUGUUGCUUAAUUCUCCCUCACUGCACUGUGUACGUCUGUGUGUGUGUGUUGCUUAAUUCUCCCUCACUGCACUGUGUACGUCUGUGUGUGUGUGUGUGUUGCUUAAUUCUCCCUCACUGCACUGUGUACGUCUGUGUGUGUGUGUUGCUUAAUUCUCCCUCCCAGCACUGUGUACGUCUGUGUGUGUGUGUUGCUUAAUUCUCCCUCCCAGCACUGUGCGUACGUCUGUGUGUGUGUGUUGCUCUGUCUCAAUCUCUCUCUGUCUCUGUCUCUCUCUGUCUGUCUCUCUAUCUCUCAAUCUCUCUCUGUGUCUUUCUCUCUCUCUAGUUAGUAAAGAACGGGCAACGUUUGCCAUGGAAGACUCUACAGUAUACAUAAGAGUCUACAGUGUACAUCCCAACCCUCUACGGCCGUUGCUGCUCCACCCGGGCAUUACCACAUCCACCCGGGUCUACAAGAAACCUCCACGGCCGAGCCUCAACCACAGAACACACCGCUACGGUUGAUGAGGUUCCACGCCCCGGACUACCGCCAUGUUAGCCUCCAUAAUAGUCCUCGGCGCACUUGUUCUGAGACGUCCUGGCUGGAGAGCUACACAACACUGGUCAUCUGCUGAGUGGUUGAAUUCCUGGUCUACCGGCCCCUGGAGGAGUGGUAGAUUGCCUGGUCUACCGUGGAUAUGAGUGGUUGAUUCCCUGGUCUACCCCUGGAUGACGCGGCUGUUCCUAUGCAGGGGAAGACUCACACAAGCGAUAAGCACCUGUCGGACCUGGAGACUCCCCCCUGAGCCUGACGGUGGAGCUGUGGGCCCUGCACCAGACCCCCACACCCCCCCACACCACCCACAGCAGGGGCAGGGCGUUGAGACUCCCCCCACAGGCUAAGACAGGGAGGGACUUGAAGAUCCAGGUUUUUGUCAUCUGCACAGGAAUUGACACGUGGUAUUUGGGAGCAGCGAGUAGCGGGCUUUUUUUUUUAAUAUAGUUUCCUUUUUUGUGUGUGCCCUGGAGCUGUCUCCUUUGUUGUAGAAAAAAAAUACUUGGCGAGGCUUUCAUAGGCGUUUUGGGCAUUUCCAGGGGUAGUUUAAUGACCCUGGUGGUAGUCUGACCCUUCCUCUGCGCAAUGAACUUGAAAAAAACGCUCAUAAAAACACAGAUAUUAACCCAGUAGCACUGGGGAUCAUGUUUCUUAAUGGUCCCUCCAAGCAAGAAAAAUGAGAAAAAAAUCACCCCUCACACAAACCAUUUCAUAUAUAUCAAAGCAUUUGCGAUCAGAUUAUGUAUCAUCUAUUUUUGGGGGUUUAUAUCAUGGUACAAAUUUGGCCUGUCGCUGCUACGUGGUAAAGGCACAAAUUUAGCCCGUCGCUGCUACCGGGUUAACCUCAUUAUCGUGUUAAAAUCCCUGUAUCUCGCUGUUAUCUUCCUCUCCCUCUAUAUUAUUUGUCAAUCUCUCUCUUUCUCUCUCUCCCACAGAUGUCUAAGGUUUCACCCAUGCAGCUGAAGGGUGCCAAUGCCUACACAUGCAUCGACCACAGGUGUGCGCUGGACAUUGCCUACAAUUCAUGGUGCAAAUGGGAGCGUCGGCGGAGAUCGAGCUGGCGGAAGGUUGGCGGCCGGGUCAAGCUCGCAACGGACAAGGAGUCCUGUGAGAUGUGCUCGGCGGAUGUUGUUGACCUCAGCCACAUCAAUGUUACUAAGGUGGUGGAGGUGGGGAAACUACAUCUACAUUGACGACGGACUCAAGGAGAUCGCUGAGACUACUACUACUACUAUUACUAUUACUAUCCUCUAUACUGAUAUGUGUACUAUUAAAUCCUCUUUACUGCUGCUAUGUGUACUAUUGAAUCCCUUGUAUAGUACUUCCAUGACAGCUGAUACUUCUACUACUACUACUAUGACCACUCAAUCCCUGGUAAGUACAAUGUCAUUAUCAUCAUCAUUAUUUAGGUUAAGGUCCAUUUAAUUCAAUCUUCCUGAGCGGUUGGACGCUUUAUGGCUCUCCUCCAUUCUACUCUGUCUUCCGCCCAAUGCUUAUACGGUCCUAUCAAUCCCAAGUCUUCCUGUACACACCUUCUCCAUGUUUUC